UACGUAGGGUGCAAGCGUUGUCCGGAAUUAUUGGGCGUAAAGAGCUCGUAGGCGGUUUGUCGCGUCGAAUGUGAAAACCCGGGGCUCAACUCCGGGCCUGCAUUCGAUACGGGCAGACUAGAGUUCGGUAGGGGAGACUGGAAUUCCUGGUGUAGCGGUGAAAUGCGCAGAUAUCAGGAGGAACACCGGUGGCGAAGGCGGGUCUCUGGGACGGUACUGACGCUGAGACGCGAAAGCGUGGGGAGCGAACAGG
rnacentral:rRNA from 1 species